rnacentral:lncRNA from 1 species
GAGUCGUCCACACGAGCCCACGAAUCUCGAUCAGAAGUCCUGCUUUAGGAAAUCAGCACAGUAUGCUAGUACUGCGCUGAUCCUUCUUUGAUGGUUGAUCAGGUGCCUCCUUCUUCUUGAUUUGAACUCUUCCAAAGAUGGAAAGUAAAAGGAGGAGUUUCAGAUCUGAGACACUCUCAAGAAACUCAAGAUGGAGGGAGGAAAGAUAUGAAAACAAAAACCCAAGAAGAAGACCCUCUUCUUCUUCACGUUUUUCUCUCUAGACACCCAAGCUUGCAUCUUUUAUAUCUCCACGACCCAAAGGUAUUUCUCUUUGAUUUUUAGAUGGCACAAAGGUAUCUCAAAUCUCUAAUUUUUCAUAAAAUUUUAUGAAGAAACUCAUCUUAUAUAGAGAGAUAUGAUAGAGUCCUUGUCUAGGUCAAACACCUAGUCAAGGCUUAUCCAAACAUGGCAAGUUAAGGGACACCCAACUCUUGAGCACCUCCUUCAUAUUUUUAUGCAUGGAUCACCAAAAAAGGGUGCACAAUAUAUACCCUAAAAGCCACAAAAAUUCCAAAAAAAAUUUGGAUAAAUUUGGUGCAAAAUUGAAAGAGUUUUGGAUUUCUAAAACUCUAUCUCAUAGAAUUCGAAAUCCAAACUUAUUCCUUUUAGAUUUGAUCCAAACCACCUUCCAU